rnacentral:rRNA from 1 species
CGCCUUGCCAGCCCGCUCAGAAACUUAAAGGAAUUGACGGGGCCCGGCACAAGCGGAGGAGCAUGUGGUUUAAUUCGAUGAUACGCGAGGAACCCUACCUGGGCUCGAACGUAAGAUGACUGUAGGUGAAAGCUUACAUCUCUUCGGAGCAUUUUACGAGGUGCUGCAUGGUUGUCGUCAGCUCGUGCCGUGAGGUGUCGGGUUAAGUCCCAUAACGAGCGCAACCCCUACCUUUAGUUGCCAUCAGGUUAAGCUGGGGACUCUAAAGGAACUGCCUACGCAAGUAGUGAGGAAGGCGGGGAUGACGUCAAAUCAGCACGGCCCUUACGUCCAGGGCUACACACGUGCUACAAUGGCCGAUACAGAGGGCAGCUACCUGGUGACAGGAUGCAAAUCUCCAAAGUCGGUCUCAGUUCGGAUCGGAGUCUGCAACCCGACUCCGUGAAGUUGGAUUCGCUAGUAAUCGCGCAUCAGCCAUGGCGCGGUGAAUACGUUCCCGGGCCUU